AGAACUUGACUCUGCCAAGGGAAUGAAAGGCCAGGGAGGCAAGGAAAAUCCUCUUAUGUGGGGAGAUGACACCCGAAGGUUGGGAGAAGGACUCACCCUCAUGUGGCCAGGCCCCCUGCAGCAAGAAGAACCCUGGAAAGAAAGAUCAUGAUGGAUGACCCAUCUGCAGGCAAACCAGGGCACCCUUGCUGCCCCCACUGGGCUGUGAGUCUUGGUAGCCAGGCCCUUCCUGGGCUGAAGGACUCACCAACACACGCCAUGCUGACGACCAAGAGCGACAUGGUGCUGCCGGAGCAGACAGGCAGCCGCGACCGAGCUCAGCUCAGCAGCGCACAGGAUGUUAUUUGGCGCCCUGCCCAUGCAGUUUACAUGUUGACCACAUCAUGGGAGGGUGACGUACGCAGGCUCUUUCUACCUUGCAUGAGGCCCAGUGGGUGCUCGCUCAAGAGCGGAACACGGCUUCCUGGAAAUUGUUCUCGCUAGAAUUUGACACCUAGUGUCCUUCACUAUGACCAACUCAAAACACGUCUGAGAUCCAACCUCCCGAACACGAGAUGCCUAAAAUCUGUGCUAACAUGAAAGACUUUUCAUGUAUUUCUAUUGUUUUUAUCUGAGAUUCAAACUCUUCUUCCUGUGUAAUAUGCAAAAUAUCUAAUAGGUAUUAUUAAUGUUUUCAGAGUCAUUGUCACUAAUAAACCAUUAGAAUUUUU
rnacentral:lncRNA from 1 species